rnacentral:rRNA from 1 species
GACAGAGGUGCCGAGCGUUAGGCGGAAUCACUGGGCUUAAAGCGUGUGUAGGCGGCCCGUUAAGUGCCCCGUGAAAUCCCCCGGCUCAACCGGGGAACUGCGGGGCAUACUGGCGGGCUUGGGUCGCUCGAGGGCAGACGGGAACAGGCGGUGGAGCGGUGAAAUGCGUAGAUAUCGCCUGGAACGCCGAAGGUGAAAACAGUCUGCUGGGGGCGUACCGAC